rnacentral:rRNA from 1 species
AUUGAACGCUGGCGGCAUGCCUUACACAUGCAAGUCGAACGGCAGCACGGGAGCAAUCCUGGUGGCGAGUGGCGAACGGGUGAGUAAUAUAUCGGAACGUGCCCAGUCGUGGGGGAUAACGCAGCGAAAGCUGUGCUAAUACCGCAUACGAUCUAAGGAUGAAAGCGGGGGAUCGCAAGACCUCGCGCGAUUGGAGCGGCCGAUAUCAGAUUAGCUAGUUGGUGGGGUAAAGGCCCACCAAGGCGACGAUCUGUAGCUGGUCUGAGAGGACGUCCAGCCACACUGGAACUGGGACACGGUCCAGACUCCUACGGGAGUCAGCAGUGGGGAAUUUUGGACAAUGGGCGCAAGCCUGAUCCAGCAAUGCCGCGUGCAGGAUGAAGGCCUUCGGGUUGUAAACUGCUUUUGUACGGAACGAAACGGCCCUUUCUAAUACAGGGGGCUAAUGACGGUACCGUAAGAAUAAGCACCGGCUAACUACGUGCCAGCCGCCGCCGUAAGAC